rnacentral:tRNA from 1 species
GAAAUAAGUAAAUACAAGAAAAGAUUUCUAACCUUUAUCUUUAGCAGUGAAAAUCUGUUAUUAUUUCU